CACCUUGGGACUAACACCUUGCCACCAUCUGGAAGAGGAUGUCCUCCCCCUCCCCGGCACCACCACACUGCACUCAACCCUCCCACCACUAUCAUUCCAACCUCCCACUGAUGUGUUAGAUCCCUGAACCCCUACCUACUGUUCUUUACAAUGUGUUUAUAAUGUGUACAUUUUUAGCUUAGCGGCUGGUAAGACCAAAUACACUAUAUUAUUACUAUUAGCACACACACACUUGACCAAUAAGCCCAGGCCACAACAGCCAGCCCAGCACAGUCACCAAAAAGAUCAGACCUUUCACAGGACCCACCAACCACAUGAAGCCUGGGGUGGAAAGUGAAUAACAGAUCAUGCCGUCACAGUCACCAUUUGUUCCAACAGAUGAAUAUUUUCUGUUCUCUGUGCUACACACAGCCCUGUAACACCACCACAACAAACACUUGCACUCACACACACAGCAGAACUGAAUCAGCACAGCACCUCAGGAGAAGUGGACCUUCAUGUGCCUGACAAUCUCACCCUUAGUCAUGAAACGUUUCCCACAAACAUCGCACUUGAACCCUUUAUGACCAGAGUAUCUGAAGACGUGCAUGUCCAAUAUACUCUUCAGUUUGAACCUUUUCCCACAAACUUCACACUCAUGACUUCUUGCAUCAGUGUGUGUAACAAGGUGUAAUUUGAGGGUACCCUUCUGACUGAAACAUUUCCCACAAACUUCACACUCAUGCUUUCUUUCACCAGUGUGUGUAAGAGUGUGUAAUUUGAGGUUACUCUUGUGACUGAAACAUUUCCCACAAACUUCACACUCAUGAUUUCUUUCACCAGUGUGUAUAAGAGUGUGUAAUUUGAGGGUACCCUUCUGACUGAAACAUUGCCCACAAACUUCACACUCAUGAUUUCUUUCACCAGUGUGUGUAAGAGUGUGUAAUUUGAGGGUACCCUUCUGACUGAAACAUUUCCCACAAACUUCACACUUAUAAUUUUUUUCACCAGUGUGUGUAAGGGUGUGUUUCCUGAGGAUACUCUUCCGACUGAAACAUUUUCCACAAACUUCACACUCAUGAUUUCUUUCACCAGUGUGUGUAAGGGUGUGUGUGUUGAGGUGACCCUUCUGAUUGAAACAUUUCCCACAAACUUCACACUCAUGGUUUCUUGCACCAGUGUGUGUAAGGGUGUGAUGUUUGGGGUUACUCCUAUUACUAAACCUUUUGCCACACUCCCGACUUUCAUGAGGUCUUACACCAGAGUGUGUGGGUGUAUUUGUUGAGGUCAUCCUUCCCUGCAUGUCUUUUCUCACACUCUUGGCUUUGGUCAGUAAACUUGCUCUCAUUCUCAGAUCUUCUCACACUUCUGAAAUUCAAACUUCCCCCUUUGUGGAUGAAGAGGCCAGCAGUUGUUGUUGUUGGUGGUGGUUGUGUUGGUGGUGUUUUUUAUCACUCCUGAACCUCACACCAGUAGCAGUCUGCUCCUGCUGAUCCCAGCCACUCCAGCUGCUGUCCCGCCUUGCAGCCUCCACUGCAACACUACUCUGGAUGUGAGGAGUUGGCUGGCCUUGAGGAACCUCAGAGAUGCUGGAGAAGGCGGCGAGGUUGCUUCAAAGCCACACUCAGUGACCAAUUGAGCAGGCAAGGCGAGGGAUGCACCAAGGAGUCCUGAAGUCAGCGGCAGCAGGGACGGAACAAGUACUGACCACAGCAACUGUCUCGAUGCCUCACUUCAACACUAACACCAGUGGUGGACAUUGGGACACAAAGUCAUGUGCUGAAAAAAAAAAAAAAAAGACUGGUAAGGAAAC